AACGAACGCUGGCGGCAUGCCUAACACAUGCAAGUCGAACGAGACCUUCGGGUCUAGUGGCGCACGGGUGCGUAACGCGUGGGAACCUGCCCUUAGGUUCGGAAUAACUCCCCGAAAGGGGUGCUAAUACCGGAUAAUGUCUUCGGACCAAAGAUUUAUCGCCUUUGGAUGGGCCCGCGUUGGAUUAGCUAGUUGGUAGGGUAAAAGCCUACCAAGGCGACGAUCCAUAGCUGGUCUGAGAGAUGAUCAGCCACACUGGGACUGAGACACGGCCCAGACUCCUACGGGAGGCAGCAGUGGGGAAUAUUGGACAAUGGGCGAAAGCCUGAUCCAGCAAUGCCGCGUGAGUGAUGAAGGCCUUAGGGUUGUAAAGCUCUUUUACCCGGGAUGAUAAUGACAGUACCGGGAGAAUAAGCGCCGGCUAACUCCGUG
rnacentral:rRNA from 1 species